rnacentral:rRNA from 1 species
GUUGUUCUGCCAAGGGCAUGGCUGGGUAGCUAUGUACGGAAUGGAUAAGCGCUGAAAGCAUCUAAGCGCGAAGCCAACUUCAAGAUAAGAUUUCCCACCGCAAGGGUAAGACUCCAGAAAGACUAUCUGGUUGAUAGGUCGAAGGUGUAAGUGCAGCAAUGUAUUUAGCUUAUCGAUACUAAUAGGUCGAGGACUUGACCAAU